rnacentral:rRNA from 1 species
AAAUUGAAGAGUUUGAUCAUGGCUCAGAUUGAACGCUGGCGGCAGGCCUAACACAUGCAAGUCGAGCGGUAGCACAGAGAGCUUGCUCUCGGGUGACGAGCGGCGGACGGGUGAGUAAUGUCUGGGAAACUGCCUGAUGGAGGGGGAUAACUACUGGAAACGGUAGCUAAUACCGCAUAAUGUCGCAAGACCAAAGUGGGGGACCUUCGGGCCUCAUGCCAUCAGAUGUGCCCAGAUGGGAUUAGCUAGUAGGUGGGGUAACGGCUCACCUAGGCGACGAUCCCUAGCUGGUCUGAGAGGAUGACCAGCCACACUGGAACUGAGACACGGUCCAGACUCCUACGGGAGGCAGCAGUGGGGAAUAUUGCACAAUGGGCGCAAGCCUGAUGCAGCCAUGCCGCGUGUGUGAAGAAGGCCUUCGGGUUGUAAAGCACUUUCAGCGGGGAGGAAGGCGGUGAGGUUAAUAACCUCAUCGAUUGACGUUACCCGCAGAAGAAGCACCGGCUAACUCCGUGCCAGCAGCCGCGGUAAUACGGAGGGUGCAAGCGUUAAUCGGAAUUACUGGGCGUAAAGCGCACGCAGGCGGUCUGUCAAGUCGGAUGUGAAAUCCCCGGGCUCAACCUGGGAACUGCAUUCGAAA